rnacentral:tRNA from 1 species
GGAGGGCUCGCAUAGCUGGCCUAGUGCAGUCGCCUUGAAAGCGACCAGACGCUCAUCACGUCUCGUGGGUUCGAAUCCCACGCCCUCCG